UCCCUUUGGCAGCGCAUAUACUAACAUUGGAACAAUACAGAGAAGAUUAGCAUGGCCCCUGCUCAAGGGUGACACGCAAAUUUGCGAAGUGGUCCAUAAAAGA